GACGAACGCUGGCGGCGUGCCUAAUACAUGCAAGUCGAACGCAGGGGGGACGGGUGAGUAACACGUGGGUAACCUCCCAUCAGAGGGGAUAACACUUGGAAACAGGUGCUAAACCGAUCCUGCUGGAUGGACCAGCGGGGCAUUAGCUAGUUGGUGUGGUAACGGCACACCAAGGCCACGAUGCAUAGCCGACCUGAGAGGGUGUUCGGCCACACUGGGACUGAGACACGGACCAGACUCCUACGGGAGGCAGCAGUAGGGAAUCUUCCGCAAUGGACGAAAGUCUGACCGAGCAACGCCGCGUGAGUGAAGAAGGUUUUCGGAUCGUAAAACUCUGUUGUUAGAGAAGCGGUAUCUAACCAGAAAGCCACGGCUAACUACGUGCCAGCCGCCGCGGUAAUUC
rnacentral:rRNA from 1 species